GUGAGGACUACUGGAGCGCUUAGAAGUGAGAAUGCCGGUGUGAGUAACGUUAGGAGGGUGAGAAUCCCUCCCACCGAUUGACUAAGGAUUCCAGGGUACGGUUCGUCUUCCCUGGGUAAGUCAGGACCUAAGCCGAGGCUGAAAAGCGUAGGCGAUGGACAACAGGUUUAUAUUCCUGUACUGGCUAUAUAACUGAUGGAGUGACGGAGAAAGCUAGUAAGAGCCCAUUAUUGGAUUUGGGUCUAAGUACAAAGGAUAAUGCGUUAGCAAAUCUGCGACAUUAUAAAGUCUGAAGUACGAAUGUGAAGGUUCUACGGGACCGAAAUCUUAUGACGCUAUGCUUCCAAGAAAAACUUCUAAAGAUAUUAUAUAGUCACCUGUACCGAGAACCGACACAGGUGGUCAAGGAGAGUAUCCUAAGGUGAGCGAGAUAACCAUGGGUUAAGGAACUCGGCAAAAUUGCCCUGUAACUUCGGGAUAAAGGGAGGUCUCUUCGGAGACCCACAGAAAAAAGGCCCAAGCAACUGUUUACCAAAAACACAGGUCUCUGCUAAAGCGAAAGCUGAUGUAUAGGGGCUGACGCCUGCCCAGUGCUGGAAGGUUAAGAGGAUUAGUUAGAUGGACGCAAGUCGAUAACAUCAAAGCUUUGAAUCGAAGCCCCAGUGAACGGCGGCCGUAACUAUAACGGUCCUAAGGUAGCGAAAUUCCUUGUCAGGUAAGUUCUGACCCGCACGAAAGGCGUAAUGAUCUGGAUACUGUCUCAACCAUAGACUCGGUGAAAUCUUAAUACCUGUGAAAAUGCAGGUUACCCGCGACAGGACGGAAAGACCCCAUGGAGCUUUACUGUAGCUUGAUAUUGGAAUCAGGCAAUGUAUGUAGAGGAUAGGUGGUAGACUAUGAAGUAUAGACGCCAGUUUAUACAGAGUCGCCCUUGGAAUACCACCCUUACGUUGUUUGAUUUCUAACUUGUUCCCGUGAUCCGGGAAGAGGACAGUGUCUGGUGGGCAGUUUGACUGGGGCGGUCGCCUCCCAAAAAGUAACGGAGGCGCCCAAAGGUUCCCUCAGAUUGGUCGGAAAUCAAUCAAAGAGUGUAUUGGUAUAAGGGAGCUUAACUGCGAGACCAACAAGUCGAGCAGGUGCGAAAGCAGGGCAAAGUGAUCAGGCGGUAGAGAAUGGAAUUGCCGUCGCUUAACGGAUAAAAGUUACCCUGGGGAUAACAGGCUGAUACCACCCAAUAGUUCAUAUAGACGGUGGUGAUUGGCACCUCGAUGUCGGCUCGUCACAUCCUGGAGGUGGAUUCGCUUCCAAGGGUUGGGCUGUUCGCCCAUUAAAGUGGCACGCGAGCUGGGUUCAGAACGU
rnacentral:rRNA from 1 species